UACGAAGGGUGCAAGCGUUAAUCGGAAUUACUGGGCGUAAAGCGUGCGUAGGCGGUUGGCUAAGUCAGAUGUGAAAGCCCUGGGCUCAACCUGGGAAUGGCAUUUGAAACUGGCUGGCUAGAGUGUGAUAGAGGAUGGCGGAAUUCCCGGUGUAGCGGUGAAAUGCGUAGAGAUCGGGAGGAACAUCCGUGGCGAAGGCGGCCAUCUGGAUCAACACUGACGCUGAGGCACGAAAGCGUGGGGAGCAAAUAGG
rnacentral:rRNA from 1 species